UCGUGAGACAGUUCGGUCUCUAUCUAUCGUGGGCGCGGGAGUUUUGCGUGGUGCCGUCACUAGUACGAGAGGACCGUGAUGGACAGACCUCCGGUUUACCAGUUGUGCCGCCAGGUGCACCGCUGGGUAUCUGAGUCUGGAAUGGAUAAGCGCUGAAAGCAUCUAAGUGCGAAGCCAGCCGCAAGAUGAGAACUCCAUUGAGGGUCGUUGUAGACGACGACGUUGAUAGGGUGCAGGUGUAAAGACAGCGAUGUCAAAGCCGAGCACUACUAAUUGCCCGAAACUUUCUUCUUUU
rnacentral:rRNA from 1 species